UCUAGUGACGAUUAUUUCCUCAGGUUCCACAGCUCUGCCGGUUCUUAGCUCUCUAUAGAGUCUACUCUCGUAUCUUAUCGUUGUUGGGAAGUUGGCUGACUGUUUAUUCACAGCGUUGGUAUAUUAUAUCCCAGGAUUUGGUUGAUCUUCGAAUGCCGUUCACUUCAUGAGAAACGGCAGCCAGAGGCUGCGUUAAAAGAAGAAUUUGGUAACGUAUUUUUGCGUCAUGACUAUGAGGUGGCGGUGAGGAAGGUGUCGACAAGAGAAAAUGGUCGUCGAGGUAGAUACAUAAUCAGUUGUCAAGUUGUUGAAGUGGCAGUUACCAAUUGGAAGGGAGCAUAUCACAAAAAGAACCACUUCUGAGACAAGAUUCACGCUUUGGAAAACUAGAAGACUGGUUGGCGCGGAUAGCGGAGGAAGAGGACUUGGCUCGAGUGGUGCAUACGCUCAUGAUUUGCAAAUUCUGCCAUGUUUUAUUACUAGAUAUGAAAGUAAAAUACUUGUAAUUUCACUGGUCUGACGAACUUGAUAUCCUACACGUAGACAAAUCUCGGGUUUUAUGAACCAUAUAUACUACUUUGACACUGA